UACGUAGGGUGCGAGCGUGUCCGGAAUUAUUGGGCGUAAAGAGCUCGUAGGCGGUGCGUCACGUCGGCCGUGAAAACCUGCAGCUUAACUGUGGGCGUGCGGUCGAUACGGGCAUCACUGGAGUUCGGCAGGGGAGACUGGAAUUCCUGGUGUAGCGGUGAAAUGCGCAGAUAUCAGGAGGAACACCGGUGGCGAAGGCGGGUCUCUGGGCCGAUACUGACGCUGAGGAGCGAAAGCGUGGGGAGCAAACAGG
rnacentral:rRNA from 1 species